rnacentral:rRNA from 1 species
UACAGAGGGUGCGAGCGUUGUUCGGAAUUAUUGGGCGUAAAGCGCUUGUAGGCGGCACGUCAAGUCGCGUGUGAAAUCCCCAGGCUUAACCUGGGAAGUGCGCGCGAAACUGACGAGCUUGAGUGCCGGAGAGGGUCGCGGAAUUCCCGGUGUAGAGGUGAAAUUCGUAGAUAUCGGGAGGAACACCAGUGGCGAAGGCGGCGACCUGGACGGACACUGACGCUGAGACGCGAAAGCGUGGGGAGCAAACAG